rnacentral:lncRNA from 1 species
AUCCUGUAAUUCCCGCAGCCUGCAGGAGCUCCGUGAGGAGGAGCGAGGCGGCCGGAUGGCGAUGCCCUGGACGGAGUGUGACCUGCCCCGGGCAGCCACUGGUGCCGCAGAGCCAGAUCCAACAUUGCCCCUCCAGCCUUCCAAAAGGAGACUCCAGCUUCAAAGAGUCACAGGGCUGACAUCAAAGGAGCAAACUUAAAGCAGUGUUCUCCUCAGGGUCCUGACACGGCAGCUGACAGGGCCAACAGCACUCCUGCAGGAAAACCUGGGAGGGGAGAAGUCCAGGGGAACUUUUCACCACAGCGCUUGAAGAUAAUGAUUACAAAGUUAAGGCAAGGCAAAGUCUCUUGUUCUUGUGGAGUUACUGGUUUCAGGGGAUUUUUUUUACUUAAGUACUCAAGGUGUGCAGAGCUCUUUCCCUUCUCCACAGCCACUGCCUAGAGCUGUACUUGCAUCAAUCUGUUUAUUUGUAACAAAUCAGUUUUAGAAUCUGUUUUAAAAGCAGCCUUGACGUGCAAAUUGGUAAUAUGGCCUAAGUACUAACAGCUUGUGUAUUUGAUUAUAAACAUUAUAACUUGCUCAAAAUAGACUUACAUGGGUUUGGUUGCACUCCA